GAUGAACGCUGGCGGCGUGCCUAAUACAUGCAAGUCGAACGCUGAAGGAGGAGCUUGCUCUUCUGGAUGAGUUGCGAACGGGUGAGUAACGCGUAGGUAACCUGCCUGGUAGCGGGGGAUAACUAUUGGAAACGAUAGCUAAUACCGCAUGACAACAGUUAUUGCAUGAUAACUGUUUAAAAGGGGCAACUGCUCCACUACCAGAUGGACCUGCGUUGUAUUAGCUAGUUGGUGAGGUAACGGCUCACCAAGGCGACGAUACAUAGCCGACCUGAGAGGGUGAGCGGCCACACUGGGACUGAGACACGGCCCAGACUCCUACGGGAGGCAGCAGUAGGGAAUCUUCGGCAAUGGACGGAAGUCUGACCGAGCAACGCCGCGUGAGUGAAGAAGGUUUUCGGAUCGUAAAGCUCUGUUGUAAGAGAAGAACGAGUGUGAGAGUGGAAAGUUCACACUGUGACGGUAUCUUACCAGAAAGGGACGGCUAACUACGUG
rnacentral:rRNA from 1 species